AUACGUAGGUGGCGAGCGUUGUCCGGAUUUACUGGGCGUAAAGGAUGCGUAGGCGGAUGUUUAAGUCAGAUGUGAAAAUCCCGAGCUUAACUUGGGAACUGCAUUUGAAACUGGAUAUCUAGAGUGCGGGAGAGGAGAAUGGAAUUCCUAGUGUAGCGGUGAAAUGCGUAGAGAUUAGGAAGAACACCAGUGGCGAAGGCGAUUCUCUGGUCUGUAACUGACGCUGAGGCUCGAAAGCGUGGGUAGC
rnacentral:rRNA from 1 species